rnacentral:rRNA from 1 species
UUGUUGCAGUUAAAAAGCUCGUAGUUGGACUUUAGGCAAGGCGGCCUGGUCACCCUCUGGGUGUACUGGGAUCGCUGCGCCUCACCUUCGGGGAGCUAGUCGUGCUUCGGUGCGCUAGGGAACCGAGCCUUACCUUGAGGAAAUUAGAGUGUUUAAAGCAGGCUUAUGCUUGAAUACGUUAGCAUGGAAUAACAUGAUAGGACUUUGGUUCUAUUUUGUUGGUUUGAGGACCAAAGUAAUGAUUAAUAGGGACAGUUGGGGGCAUUAGUAUUCAAUAGUCAGAGGUGAAAUUCUUGGAUUUAUUGAAGACUAACUAAUGCGAAAGCAUUUGCCAAGGAUGUUUUCAUUAAUCAAGAACGAAAGUUAGGGGAUCGAAGACGAUUAGAUACCGUCGUAGUCUUAACCAUAAACUAUGCCGACUAGGGAUCGGUGGAAGUCGAUUUUGACUCCAUCGGCACCUUACGAGAAAUCAAAGUUUUUGGGUUCUGGGGGGAGUAUGGUCGCAAGGCUGAAACUUAAAAGGAAUUGACGGAAGGGCACCACCAGGAGUGGAGCCUGCGGCUUAAUUUGACUCAACACGGGAAAACUCACCAGGUCCGGACAUGGGAA